UGAGUCGGUCAGGCGGUCGCGUCAUCCGGUGCGAGCCGGGUGCCGAGGAACGUCCGGGCUCCGUAGGGCAGGGUGGUGGCUAACGGCCACCCGGAGUGAUCCGCGGGACAGUGCCACAGAAAACAGACCGCCUCGUAUGCCGGUCCGCCGGCUCGCGAGGUAAGGGUGAAACGGUGGUGUAAGAGACCACCAGCGGCCUGGGUGACCAGGUCGGCUCGGUAAACCCCACCCGGAGCAAGCUCGAACAGCAGGCGUUUGAGGGCGGCCCGCCCGAGUCUGCGGGUAGAGCGCUAGAGCCGGCCAGCAAUGGCCGGCCGAGAUGGAUGACCGUCGCUGCGGCAGCCGGAAACGGUUGCUGCGGAACAGAACCCGGCGUACCGACCGACUCAUCCA
rnacentral:RNase_P_RNA from 1 species